rnacentral:tRNA from 1 species
AGUUCAGUUCAGCGAGAUUCAGGAACAUGGAGAAUCGCACUCCUAACGCGAAGGUCGCAGGUUGGACUCCUGCCCGGGCCACCA